rnacentral:lncRNA from 1 species
CUUUCAGAAUUUUAUUAGACAUUUUAAACAAUAUCGCAGCUCAUUAACACUGAAUGGGAACUGUUAAAGUAGGUCCUUUUCUAAAACAAAAUAAAUAGCAAUAGAAGCAGGAAAAUACCAGAGGGCAUUUGGACUUUUGUUUACUGCAGAAUCAUGGCCUGGGAAAGGAGGGCGGGGCUGCAAGGGAUGGAAAAGGAGGUUUUCCUAAAAGUAGUUUAGAGGAGGUAGAGUCGCAUAGGUGAGUUGUGGUAUAGCCCCCAGCAUAGUGCCUGUGCCACAGGAUGCUACGCGGAUUUUAGCAGAGCACGAGAACUGGCCCCUCUGCCUGACCCCACUCUGCCUCCCUGAGCCCACAGCUCAGCAGCAGUUGCUACAGCAACUUUGGAACAGUGGCUCUAAAUUGUCAAAUUAAAGAACUCUGAGCUAGGUCAGCCUGAUUCCUUAUACUAAGUACACAUUGAGAGUGAAAGAGAAGGAACUUCGGAGUCAUCCUCCACUCUAUACUAGUUGUAUGAUUCUAUGCAAGUAACUUUACCUCUCUAAACCUUUAUAAAGUGGAAAUAAUACUGCUCAUCUUACACAGUGGAUAUUAAUAGUUACGCAGAGUGUUGGCUGGAGAGCUGUACAUGGGAAGGAGGGAGGCAGAGCAGAUGAAGGAGGAAGGAAAGAAGAAAAUAUCUACCUGAAGGGAAGAAGAAAGAAAAGAAAGGAUGGAGGAAGAAAGAAAAGCUUUCUGAAACCUCAAUAGCAACAAUGAAAAAGUUGUUUGGAAAUAUGUACAGCUUUGAUACAGUUUCACAGCCUUCUGGACCCUGCAGCCACUUGGGCAAGUACCGCCAACUUCCGGAGCAUUUGAGAGACUACAAGAUCGAAAUCAGGUUUACAUGGAAUCUGCAGUCACAGUCACCUUGGAACAGCCAGGACCAGCCCACAGUGACCGUGUCCUGUCAUUUUCUAAAGUGUUCUGCACAGCACAAAUUGCUGAUUCCAAACUGGAGGAAACUGCAGCAUAUGACUUCCCUGUGGAGCUACCCUUGUGGAUGAAAAGGGGCUGGAGAUGCCUGCAGGGAAUCCAAGCGAUUUCUAUUAUAGGGCAUCAUUUUCCACUGACUGUGACCUGUGAGAAAUUUGUGGUUUUC